UGUGCGCAAUAAAUUCUUCUACCAACCCCACUACUUCCUCUCAGUAACGUUACAAUAGUAUUCUUUAUAGCUUCUCCUCACUCUCCACCCACUCCCCACACAUUCUCAUUACUGCUUCCUUUAAUUUUUCAUCCAUUCCCAAAAUUAUUUCAAAUAUCAUCUUCUUCUUCCAUGAGUCAUGAAGCCAUGAAAAUUAUAUCAUCUUCAAAUUAAAAAUUUUGAGAAGCCCAAUAUUUUAAAGGAAAGCUCCAAAAUCUACACCAAAAUUAUCUACAAAUAAGAGUUGUGGGAAGAAAUGAGGAGCCAGACACAACAGUAUCAAGAAGUAAUGCGAAUUGCAAACGAGCGAACACAAAGAUUUGAUUAUUUUUUUGUGACAAAAUACCGGUGGUGGAUUCGGAGAAGCUAAUGGUGGAUAUGGAGGAGUUGUUGAAGAAGAAGAGGAACAAGAUGAAGAAAUAAUUAAAUUUGAAUAUUUAAAUUUAUUUUAAUUUGUAUGGAAGAAUUUAUGUGUCAAUUAACAACUAUUUUGAAUAUUUUGUAUGGAACUUUAUUUUAAUUUUUAUUAUGUUUAAUUGAAUAUUAAUUAUUAAUAUUUAUUA